rnacentral:rRNA from 1 species
AGCGAACGCUGGCGGCAAGCUUAACACAUGCAAGACGAACGAUGUAGCAAUACAUAGUGGCGGACGGGUGCAUAACAGGUGGGAAUGCGCCCUUCAGUACGGAAUAACUCAGGGAAACUUGAGCUAAUACCGUAUAAUAUCUCCGGAUCAAAGAUUUAUCGCUGAAGUAUGAGCCCGCGGCAGAUUAGCUAGUUGGUGGGGUAAUGGCCUACCAAGGCAACGAUCUGUGGCUGGUCUUAGAGGAUGAGCAGCCACACUGGGACUGAGACACGGCCCAGACUCCUACGGGAGGCAGCAGUGGGGAAUAUUGGACAAUGGGCGAAAGCCUGAUCCAGCUAUGCCGCGUGAGUGAUGAAGGCCUUAGGGUUGUAAAGCUCUUUUAGAUGGGAAGAUAAUGACGGUACCAUCAGAAAAAGCCCCGGCUAACUUCGUGCCAGCCGCCGCCGUAA